rnacentral:lncRNA from 1 species
UAAGGGUUCCUAAUAAAGAAAAGGAUUCAUUCUAAAGUAUAUUUUCAGUUUUUAGGAACACUCUGUUUUGGAAAAAAAUACUUUUAAAUGCUUAGUCUUAAUUUUUUCCUACUUAAAAAUACGUAAGUUUCGGUCGUCCACCUCAUCCUUAAUCCAACAUCCUUCCUUUUCGUCUUUUAUUCACGUAGCAAGUAAAAUUUAUAUUUUUUGGUAGACAAUAAAUUUUUACCAAAUAAGGGCAUGAUUUGCUAGAUAAUUAUUUAGACAAUCACACUAAUGCGGUAGGCAAUCAUGGACUAACAUACUAUAGAAUAUUUACACCCGUUGCAACACACAUGCAAUUAUCUAGUCUUCCUACUUAAAAAGAAUGUAAGGUUCUAUCGUCCACCUCGUCCUUCGUCCAACAUCCUUCCUACAUUUUUAUCUUUUAUUGAGGUACCAAGUAAAAUUUAUAUUUUUUUGAUAAGACAAUAAAUUCUUACCAAAUAAGUGAUCAGCAAAUAACUUCCAAAUUUUAUUUUGGUGCGUAAAUCACGGGCACGAUUUGAUAAAUAAUUAUUUAGACAUUGAGGUACCAAGUAAAAUUUAUGUUAUUAAGGUAAGACAAUAAAUUCUUACCAAAUAA